UACGUAGGGGGCAAGCGUUGUCCGGAAUCAUUGGGCGUAAAGAGCGUGUAGGCGGCCUCGAUAAGUCCGCUGUGAAAGUCCAGGGCUCAACCCUGGAAUGCCGGUGGAUACUGUCGGGCUCGAAUCCGGAAGAGGUGAGUGGAAUUCCUGGUGUAGCGGUGAAAUGCGCAGAUAUCAGGAGGAACACCAAUGGCGAAGGCAGCUCACUGGGGACGGUAUUGACGCUGAGACGCGAAAAGCGUGGGGGAGCAAAACAGG
rnacentral:rRNA from 1 species